rnacentral:rRNA from 1 species
UACGUAGGGUGCGAGCGUUGUCCGGAAUUAUUGGGCGUAAAGAGCUCGUAGGCGGUCUGUCGCGUCUGCUGUGAAAACCCGGGGCUCAACUCCGGGCUUGCAGUGGAUACGGGCAGACUAGAGUUCGGUAGGGGAGACUGGAAUUCCUAGUGUAGCGGUGAAAUGCGCAGAUAUUAGGAGGAACACCAGUGGCGAAGGCGGCACUCUGGGCCAGUACUGACACUGAGGAGCGAAAGCGUGGGUAGCGUACAGG